rnacentral:lncRNA from 10 species
CGGGCGGCUAGGCUCUCUGAGGAGGCUGCCACAGUGAAGCAACCGUGACAAGUGGUGCCCGACCAGGGACCUGAACGAGGAAGGUCUGCCAGAGCAGAGAAAGUGAAACUGAUCAGACGAACUACGAACCCCUGGACGGGAGAGUCUGCCGGCGGAGAAUAUAAGGUGUGUGUGACCAUGGAACGGGAGACCGGAGGGAUCCAUGGUAUUCAACCGUGGGCCUGUUACCUCCAGUACGAGCCAUGAGCCAGCGGAAUCUGAAUGCAAAGACAGAACAAGGGCCGACCGGAGUCACAAUGACAUCCAACCCCAUAACAUGGGGACAGAUCAAGAAAACGACACAAGAAGCUGAGAAACUACUGGAGCGCCAGGGUCAGGCAAAAACCCCUGACUCCAUGUUCUUGGCCAUGCUAGCUGUAGUGUCCUGUGCGGUAUGUUUCCCCUGUGUAGAGGCAAAAACAUAUUGGGCAUAUGUUCCU